UCGGGAAUUUUGGGCAAUGGGCGAAAGCCUGACCCAGCAACGCCGCGUGAGGGAUGAAGUAUUUCGGUAUGUAAACCUCGAAAGAAUGGGAAGAAUAAAUGACGGUACCAUUUAUAAGCUCCGGCUAACUACGAGCCAGCAGCCGCGGUAAUACGUAGGGAGCAAGCGUUGUUCGGAUUUACUGGGCGUAAAGGGCGCGUAGGCGGCGCGGUAAGUCACUUGUGAAAUCUCUGAGCUUAACUCAGAACGGCCAAGUGAUACUGCUGUGCUAGAGUGCGGAAGAGGCAACCGGAAUUCUUGGUGUAGCGGUGAAAUGCGUAGAUAUCAAGAGGAACACCUGAGGCGAAGGCGGGUUGCUGGGCCGACACUGACGCUGAUGCGCGAAAGCCAGGGGAGCAAACG
rnacentral:rRNA from 1 species